CCGAGGCCGCCGCUGCUGCCGUCGCCGCGCAGAGCCGAAGCAGGAGCCACGGCCGAGAGGAGGGAGGAGGAGGAGGAGGUGGAGGAGGCGCCGGACCAAGGGGGAUAGAUUCCCAGAAGUGGGAUAACUGGAUCAGAGGGUGAUUACCCUGUGUAUAAGAGUGUGUGUCUCACUGCACCUUCAAUGGCAUUGAGUAGAUUAUCAGUAUUUAAACAGUCCACAUCAUGCGUGAGUACAAGCUAGUGGUCCUUGGUUCAGGAGGCGUUGGGAAGUCUGCUCUG